rnacentral:rRNA from 1 species
AUUGAACGCUGGCGGCAGGCCUAACACAUGCAAGUCGAACGAGUGGCGGACGGGUGAGUAAUGUCUGGGAAACUGCCAGAUGGAGGGGGAUAACUACUGGAAACGGUAGCUAAUACCGCAUACCAUCGGAUGUGCCCAGAUGGGAUUAGCUAGUAGGUGGGGUAAAGGCUCACCUAGGCGACGAUCCCUAGCUGGUCUGAGAGGAUGACCCGCCCAACUGGACAUGAGACACGGUCCAGCCUCUGACGGGAGGCAGCAGGGGGAAAUAUUGCAAGAUGGGCGCAAGCCUGAUGCAGCCAUGCCGCUUGUAUGAAGAAGGCCUUCGGGUUGUAAAGUACUUGCAGCGGGGAUGCGUUACCCGCAGAAGAAGCACCGGCUAACUCCGUGCCAGCAGCCGCGGUAAUAC